UACGUAGGGCGCAAGCGUUGUCCGGAAUUAUUGGGCGUAAAAGAGCUUGUAGGCGGUUUUGUCGCGUCUGCUGUGAAAUCUCAAGGCUCAACCUUGAGCUUGCAGUGGGUACGGGGCAGACUAGAGUGUGGUAGGGGGAGACUGGAAUUCCUGGUGUAGCGGUGAAAAUGCGCAGAUAUCAGGGAGGAAACACCCGAUGGCGAAGGCAGGUCUCUGGGCCACUACUGACGCUGGAGAAAGCGAAAAGCGUGGGGGAGCGAACAGGA
rnacentral:rRNA from 1 species